ACUGCUCACUAACAGUAAUAUUAAAUAAAGUUGCCUUGCCUUACAAUCUCAGCCUGUCAGUCAGUCCUCAGGGCAUAGAAACCACUGUUGUGCCUGCUUGUCUCACAGGAAGUGUAAUGUCAACAACACCGCGACUGCUUUCGGCUUGCCAUUAAUAUAUCACAGUGAAUGGUGU